CAAACCGAAUCAAGAUUCUCACACGAAAAGCACCAAAAACACGAGAGAAAAUGAAUCCAUGGAAUCGAGAAAAUGACCAACAAUUAACAGAAAAUUAAAAUUAAUUGUUCCAAAGAGAAAAGAGAACCGGUGAAUUCUUUUCCUUACUCAGCCAAUUCUUCGUCAUUCCAUCGCCAUUUUAAAUUGUUCUCUCUUCUUCUUCCGUUCCAAAUCAAGGUUAAUUUGUCACCUUAAUUCCAAGGAGAGAAAAUGUUAAUUGUCGAGAAAGAAAAUCAAUCUCUCCACAAUCGAUUGUCAUUGGUGUUGAAUAGAUUGUCUCUAAUGGUGGUGGACGUUUCAUCAUGAACUUCGGUGUACAUGGAGCUGAUUGUGAUUGUAGUUCUA